rnacentral:misc_RNA from 1 species
AGUUCAUUGAAACAAAUUAUCAAACAUAUUUGUUAAAAAUGGUCCAUCGUGUAAAGAAAGCAAGUUGGUUAUUUCCUCAAACCAACAAAUUGAGAUAGAAAGGCACACAGGUCCAGUUUGCCAACUGACUCAUAAAUUGGCUUUCGUUUUUGGUACAUCGAAAAUUUCACGGGGGAAGGGGGAUGCCAAGAUUUGAACCCUUGAUCUUUUGUGUAAUGAGAUAUGCACUUUACCAUUAUUCUAUUAGCCCAGUAGCUAAAGCACAUCAUAACCUCAAAUCGUUUAAUUGAAGUACAUCACAGAAUGCUAGAUGCUAGGGGGGAAAAUAUCUUGGAAAAAGUAGAGAAGAGGAAAUUGAACUUCUAGGUUUGCAAUUUGGUUGUACGGCUUUUUCUUGGCUUAAAAGAAUAUCACCAAUUUAUGACAGAAUUCUGGCAUAAAAUAUCUUGGAAAGGAAGAAAUCUAUCAACAAAACAUUUGCAAGCAAAAAGUCAUUCUACCUUCUAAACAUGAAAGGAGAUGAGAUUAAAUGUAUU